CGCUUUUUGGCGUACUGUUUCGCGUAAGAAUUGAAAUUUCAACUUUUUUUUAAUAAUUAUUGAUAUUGAGUGUCCAGGGAAUAUUUAUGAAGUGGUUUGGUUCUGAUUGGUUGAAAAUCCUAGGACUAGUUCGCAAAAGUAGGUUUCGGAUAUAGCUCGAUUUUGCGAGAAAACGGUGCGUCGUAGACCCCAAAAAGGCGCCGUGCACUUUUGUUCGGGCUAACCCAAGGAUUGCAACAAUGCCAUGUUUUUGAGUCUACGGCUAACGGUUUACGAUUUACGGCCAAAAAUGUCAAAAAUUUUAGUUUUUUGCGCUGUAGCGCCCCCGUUAGGCCGAUUGGGUCGAGACUCGGUAUCUGACAAGAAGGCCGGACUACUACAUUCUGACCAAAUUUCAGCUUUCUAGGCCUUACGGUUUGGGCUGCACGAACAGUUUGAGUGGAGAAUAAUAAUAAUAAUAAUAAUAAUAAUAAAAAUCCUAACAAAUACAAUAGGGUUUCAGCACUGCGUGCUUGAACCCCUAAUAAUAAU